CAGUGCAAAAUAGAUGCCAAGAGGAUGAUUUUCUGUGCAUUGGGAUGAAUAACAUAGUGCAGCAAAUCCAGUACUAGGCGAAGUAUAUAUCUAACUGUUAUAUGGCUUGAGAGGUGUCUAUUCAAAUGCGAGGAGUAUUUUGAAUAAAGUGGAUGAGCUCAGAACGAGGAUCAGCACUUAGAGCUAUGAUGUUGUGGCCAUUAGGGAGACUUGGAUGGUACAGAGGCAUCAGGUGCAACACCUUAGAUGUUUCAGAGAGGACAGGGAGGGAGGCAAAAGAGGUGGGACUUGGCACUUUGAUCAGAGAUAUUGUCAUGCUGCCGGAAAGGAGGAAGUCAUGGAGGGGUUAUCUACGGAGUCUCUCUGGGUGGCAGUUAGGAAAAGGAAGGAGUAAAUAACUUUACUGGGUGUGUUUAUAGAGCACCCAAUAGCAAUAGGGACAUCAAGGAGCAGAUAGGGUGACAGAUUCUAGAAAGAUUUAAUCAUAGCAGGGUUGUUGUGGUGGGAGAUCUUAAUACAUUCCCCAAAUAUUGAUUAGCAUCUCCCUAGAGAAAAGGGUUUAGAUGGGGUGGUGAUUGUUCGGUGUGUUCAGGAAGGUUUAUUGACACAAUAUGUAGACAAGUCUACAGGAGGAGAGGCUAUACUUGGUCUGGCAUUGAGAAAACAACCUAGUCAGGUGUCAGGUCUCUCUGUGGGAGAGCAUUUUGGAGAUACUGAUUACAAUUCUAUCUCAUUUACCAUAGCAUUGGAGAGGGAUAGGAACAAACACGUUAGGGAGACGUUUGAUUGGAGGAAGGGGAAAUAUGAGGCUAUCAGGCAAGAACUUGGAAGCAUAAAUUGGAUACAACUUUUCUCGCAGAAAUGUAUGGAAGAAACGUGGAGGAAAUGUUCAGGUUAUAUUUGCGUGGGGUUCUGCGUAGAUACGUUCCAAUGAGACAUGGAACAUGAACCGUGUUGUACAAAAGCUGAUGUAAAUCCAGUCAAGAAGAAGAGUUCAAAAAACUAGGUAAUGAUAGAGAUAUAGAAGAUCGUAAGACCAGCAAGAAGGAGCUUAAGAAUGAAAUUAGGAGAGCCAGAAGGGGCCAGUAGAAGGCCUUGGCGGACAGGAUUAAGGGAAACCCCAAGGAAUUCUAAAAGUAUGUGAAGAGCAAGAGGAUAAGCCGUGAGACAAUACGAUCAAUCGACUGUGACAGUGGAAAAAUGUGCAUGGAUACCCGAGGAGAUAGCAGAGGUAUGUAAUGAAUACUCUGCUUCAGUAUUCACUACGGAAACGGAUCUUGGCGAUUGUAGGGACUACUUGCAACAUACUUGAAAAGCUUGAGUAUGCUGAUAUUAAAGAAAAGCAUGCGCUGGAGCUUUUGGAAAGCAUCAAGUUGGAAAAGCCACCCGGACCGGACGGCAUGUACACCAGGCUACUGUGGGAAGUGAGGGAAGAGAUUGCUGAAUCUCUGGCGAUAAUCUUUGCAUCAUAAAUGAGGACGGGAGAGGUUCCGGAGGCUUGGAGGGUUGCGGAUAUUGUUCUCUUAUUCAACAAAGGGAGUAGGGAUAGCCCAGGAAAUUAUAGACCAGUGAGUCCUUCUUCAGUGCUUGGUAAUUUGAUAUAGAAGAUCCUAAGAGGAAGGAUUUAUGAACAUUUGGAGAGGCAUAAUACGAUUCGGAACAGUUUGGUAAUGGCAGGCCGUACAUUAGGAGCCUGAUUGAGGUUUUGAGGAAGUUCCUAAACACUUUGAUGAAGGUAGAACAGUAGGUGUGGAGUAUAUGGAUUUUGGCAAGGCAUUUCAUAAGGUACCCCUUGAAAGGCUUAUUAAGAAUGUAAGGAGGCAUGGGAUCCAAGGGGACAUUGCUUUGUGGAUCCAGAACUGGCUUGACCACUGAAGGCAAAGUGUGACUGUAGAUGGUUCAUAUUCUGCAUGGAAGCCGGUGGCCAGUGGUGUGCCUCAGGAAUUUGUUCUGGGACCCCUACUCUUUGAGAUUUUUAUAAAUGAUCUUGAAGUGGAAGUGGAGGGGUGGAUUAAUAAAUUUGCUGAUGACACAAUAUUUGGGAUGUUGUGGACAGUGUGAAUGUCUGUUGGAGGUUAACGUGGGGCAUCAAUAGGAUACAAAACUGGGCUGAGAAGUGGCAGAUGGAGUUCAGCCCAGAAAAUCAGAGGUAGUUCAUUUUUGUAGGUCAAAUACGUUGGCAGAAUAGAGUAUUAAUAGUAAGACUCUUGGCAGUGUGGUCGAUCAGAGGGAUCUUAGUAUCCAAGUCCAUUGGAUACUAAGAUCUGCUACGCAGGUUGACUCUUUGGUUAUGAAGGCAUACGGUUUAUUGGCAUUCAUCAAUCGUGGGAUUAAGAUUAAUAGCCAAAAGGGAAUAUUACAGCUAUAUAUACCCUAGGCACACCCCAUUUGGAGUAUUGUGCUCAAUGCUGGGUGCGUCACUAUAGGAAGGACGUGGGAGCGUUUAAAAAGGCCAGGAUUCUUUUCCGGUUCUAAAUUCGAAGCAAGAUGUUUGUGAGUGAAUGGCUGAAAGGAUAUUCGUCGAGAAGGCAUUUUACUACUCGUGUUAAAGAGAGGCAAGACUGCGCAGAAGUUGUUAAUGGAGAUCCUAACUGGUUGAGAGUAUAUGAUGUGGUGUUAUAACAAACGGGAAAAGAUGGAGAGAUGGCCAAUCGUCACCAGACUGCAAAGGUUAAACCUGAAAAAAGGGGAAUACCGUCGGAUCCGUCAGCUUCAGACACCCGACUAUGAACUUGCAUAUCACCCCUUCCCAAUAUCUAGAAGUUCCAUGUGACAUGGAAAUAAAACAAGUUGUUGUUGUGGUUUUCUGGCAUAGUUACAGGCAACAGCAGCUGUAGCAAAAGCAAAAACCGAGGGAACCAGCGGUUCCAUUGGGGAAGCUGGGUUCCGAACAGCACAAUCCAGGGACUGAUAGUGUAGAACCAGAUUCGCAGACCAGGUCAAGAAACGGAAAUCUGAUGAGAUCAUUCGGGGCCAAGCCGAGGAGGGACCGGUGAACAGCUCAGACUGGUUGUUCAAGACAUGUCAUUUUUUAAUCCAUUGUCCAGGUAUUGAUUAAGGAAGCCUAUGGAAGUUCCUGGUCAGGAGUAGAAGAGGAUUUCCCUCUGCGCCACAGGAAACACAAGGGGACUGGACCCCUCCAGCGGGGAUCGAGGGAAUGGCGAUUGGAGUCCUACUGACAGAAUGAAUGAAUGGCUGAACAGAACAAAAGCUGCCAUUCUCGCAAGAGCCGGACAUCCACGUAUAGAGUAGAAUGCCCAAAAGAAUGAAUGAAAAUUAAAUGUUGGAGCGUCAAAGAUCCCCCUAACUCCCCCCUCCCACGCAGAAGCUGCAACAGAGCAACGACCAGACACCCCCCCUUCCACUAGCAAAAAUGCAUCGGCAGCAAAGCAUCAACAAAUGCUCAGACUUGCAGUACCCCAAAGACGACUCGUUUUCCCGGCAAAUGCUUAGUUAAACUGGCUGUAGAAGCACUUGGUAUUGUGAUUUCGAUGGUGCUCUUUUGGAACUUGCUAGAUAAUCAGUAAUUAACUGUGCCGAUUGGGGAGCUGACAUUCAGAAUCACGUAUAUUAUCCAUGUAAUGAUUGUGCUCAGAUAUUCAGUCACAGUCUGUGAUCAGUGAUGGUUCGGUCCCAUUUUUUACUUGACUUUUGUUCUAUAUGACGACUUUAUAUAUGGACCUUACUGUUGUCUCCGAAAUGUGAAUGGCUUUGCAACGACAGUGGUUGUUCAGUCAGGGGAAGUUGUAAAUAAGCAAAGCCAUAAUCUGUGCCGAUGUUCAUGGGCCUGAAAAUAAAAUGCAUUUAUAACAUCAUUUACGUCAUUGAGGGAGUAGAUCUGCAGUGACGUUAUCUGGGUGGCUAAUGAUACCUCUGAAUAAGCAUUGUGAUCAGCGAUGCGCCUCUACCUGUUCUGAUAGUACUUUAUACUGUCUGUUGCUCUGAUAGUACUGUAUACUGUCUGUUGAAGUCACGUUUCAUUUUGAAGAACGAAACUACGCCAGUGAUCACACUGACGUUCGAGAAGAGCAACAAAACGAAUUGCCUCGUACUUGUUAAUCUUCACGAAUGACGGUGAAAUAAUACUUGUUUCAUUGGCAAGUUUGCUCUCAUUCGUGAAAUACAUUGUUCAGUAUGAAAUUAGCAAGAAUAUGUGGUGGUUAAGGGAGUUCACUGACUGUCGUGGGAGAAAUUAGUGGAAAGUCUUUUUUUCAGCAUAUCGUGGUUAUACGAUCGCUCGUGAAACGCGCUGUAAUUAGAGGAGUCUAAAUUUGCAAUGUAAACCAAGAGUUAGAAACUAAGGAAUACUUGUCAUUGGCGGUCGUCACGAAGACAGAUUUUACAGUUGCAGGAUUCACCAAAGGAAAGGGGAAAUUCUGCUGCGAAACUCAAUCAAUAAAGUCGAUAACUUCAAAUAAGUAUAAAUCCGCGAAGAGGUGAGAUCUUAUCCCACAUUGUGCUUAGUUGCUGGAGCCCAGUGAAAAAAAUUCGCAAAGAGCUAGAGAGUUCAAUAACAGAAGCAGUCUCUUCGGUCCGUGUACUCAUGCUGAACUAUUCGGCCUAGUCCCUUCGACUUGUACCUGAACCAUAGCCUUGCACUCCCCUCCCACCUAUGUACCUAUCCAAAUUACAUUUGAAUGUUGUGUUAUGAAUGUGAAGCAACUCUGAGGGGCAGAAGGGUACAAAGUCGCCCUCUCCUUUUUGAGAAUCGCAAGAUCGCUAUUAAUUCUGGUCUGGGACCCAGGAAAUAAGAGAGAGACGUCCAGAAUACACAAGGUUUGGAAUGUGUCCUGACCUCAGCGAAACGGAACCACUGAUAACGGCUAUUGUCUCUUGGAGACGGAAUUGUGUAUUGAGUACUGUACUAUUCAUUGAAACUCCUCAGGGGACAACCAGAGUGGUCUGUAAGUGAGGAUAAAAGAGGGUCUCGGAAAAAAAACCCUUUAGACGCACCAGGAGAAAGACUAGAGAUCCCACGAUAGCGUUUAAUAGCGACAGCCAGUGAGGGCUCGUUUGCCUCCUCCCUUGCCAGGGUGGCGGGCUCACCACGGAAGAACGGUUUAUCUAAAGAAGAGGUCACAAUUGAACGGCCACGACAAAAAGACACUUGACGGAUCGAAAUCAUAAAGGUUGGAAAAACCCGGAGCGGUAACUGUUCCCAUUAUAUUCCUACUUCUCUCUCUCUCCAACAAAGUGCAACACAGCGACAACCAAACGACGGCAGCUUGUGGAACUGCAGCGAACUCUAUAUUUCUACCGGUCGAUUCAUUUACCCCUAGACAACGAUAGAGCUUAUUUCUUACUGAUUAUUAUUAUGCCCGCACUUUUAGAUUUAUUAUUGACGACGUAUAUUAUCUGUAUAUUUACAUAGAUAUUAUUUUUGUGUAUUUUUACUAAUAAAUACUGUUGAAAAUAGUAUCAUCAGA